rnacentral:rRNA from 1 species
GACAGAGGGUGCAAGCGUUGUUCGGAAUUACUGGGCGUAAAGGGCUCGUAGGCGGCCAACUAAGUCAGACGUGAAAUCCCCAGGCUCAACUUGGGAACUGCGUCUGAUACUGGGUGGCUUGAGUUCGGGAGAGGAAUGUGGAAUUCCAGGUGUAGCGGUGAAAUGCGUAGAUAUCUGGAGGAACACCGGUGGCGAAGGCGGCAUUCUGGACCGAAACUGACGCUGAGGCGCGAAAGCCAGGGGAGCAAACGGG